AUUGAACGCUGGCGGCAGGCCUAACACAUGCAAGUCGAGCGGAUGAAGGGAGCUUGCUCCUGGAUUCAGCGGCGGACGGGUGAGUAAUGCCUAGGAAUCUGCCUGGUAGUGGGGGAUAACGUCCGGAAACGGGCGCUAAUACCGCAUACGUCCUGAGGGAGAAAGUGGGGGAUCUUCGGACCUCACGCUAUCAGAUGAGCCUAGGUCGGAUUAGCUAGUUGGUGGGGUAAAGGCCUACCAAGGCGACGAUCCGUAACUGGUCUGAGAGGAUGAUCAGUCACACUGGAACUGAGACACGGUCCAGACUCCUACGGGAGGCAGCAGUGGGGAAUAUUGGACAAUGGGCGAAAGCCUGAUCCAGCCAUGCCGCGUGUGUUAAGAAGGUCCUCGGAUUGUAAAGCACUUUAAGUUGGGAGGAAGGGCAGUAAGUUAAUACCUUGCUGUUUUGACGGUACCAACAGAAUAAGCACCGGCUAACUUCGUG
rnacentral:rRNA from 1 species